rnacentral:misc_RNA from 1 species
GAUGAAGAACGUAGCGAAAUGCGAUACUUGGUGUGAAUUGCAGAAUCCCGUGAACCAUCGAGUCUUUGAACGCAAGUUGCGCCCGAAGCCAUUAGGCCGAGGGCACGCCUGCCUGGGCGUCACACGUCGUUGCCCCCCCAUCUACUCCUUCGGGAUUGCGGGGGGCGGAUGAUGGCCUCCCGUGCGCCUCGCCGCGCGGUUGGCAUAAAUGCCAAGUCCUCGGCGACGCACGCCACGACAAUCGGUGGUUGCGAAACCUCGGUUGCCCGUCGUGUGCGGUCGUCGCGCGUCGAGGGCUCGAAAAAAUUGCCGGGUUCCGGCUCGGCUUUCAACGCGACCCCAGGUCAGGCGGGGUUACCCGCUGAAUUUAAGCAUAUCAAUAAGCGGAGGA